CAUUUCGAUGAAUCGAAAGACAUCGUGAGAUGCAGUCGAUUAUGAAAUGGCGGCGGUGAUGGAUAAAGAUUUGCGCGAAAUAUCGAAUUCUUUUUCGCGAUUCUUUCGCAGAAUUAGAAGUUGUCGGCUGUAACCAAGGCGGACUAGAACAACGGAUACUAAUAGGAUGACUAUGGAAUUCGGGAAGCUGGAGGAUGCUCCGUUCACAUUCCAGCAGACGUCGAGCUUACAAUUGGACACCAGUUUGCCUAAUCUCCUCUUCAAAAAUUCCCAGUCGCAAAGGCCCACCUGGCAGCCUUCGUAUCGCACUGGUUUUUCCGCCAGACAGCGAGCUUAACGGAGCGGACUCUCAUUGGAAGAAAAGCGCUUUUCCUUUCUCGUCUCGCGGAUCGCGGAAUAAACCUACAUUUCGCCGCCGGCUGACGACAUCGCAGAAUAUAAUUUAUUAUCAACUCUUAUGAAGAAGCUAGCGUAACGUGGCUGUGCCGAUUGCAUAACCGGAAGUAUUCGCGCGUUCGCCGCCGAAGUUUUGCCGCGAGCAUUGCCAGUCCACAGAUGUUAGACAAUUUAUUCAAGUGAAAAAUAACUGAACACAUCUUGAGGAUACAAGAAUGCGCGAAGAUUCGAACGAGAGAUUUGGAGGGACUGGAAGAUCUAAUUAUCUCGCAGGGAUUUGAUUUUUGUGAGAACAUUGUCGACGCGAAGUCCAAAAAUAGCCUCCAAGUGAAUGAGAGAGUAGAAUUAUUACGUCGUACAUUGAUCAAUAAAAUUCUAAUCGAUGUAAACUGGUUUCCAGUAUACUUCUAAGCCUGGGAGACUCUCCUCUCGCUAGGUGCGGCUAUUUUUGAGAUUUUGUAAUCGACGAAGAAUUAGAAAUAGCUCGUAUGUAAUAGUGACGAAUAAGGCAAUGAAACGCGAUUAGAGUCUUCUUCUUUCGCUGAUGACUUUACUACUGCUUGGCCUACUUAUGCUUAAUUUCUCGUGUCCGCACAUACCACGCAAGUGCUACUGCCGUAUCUUUAAACAUCGUUGCAAAUCUUAUUUCAAUGCGAAAUCCAUUAUUCAUGCCCGUCCCGCUUCAGGCGUCAUUCGAAGGACUAUUUAAUUGGUAGAAUGAACGAAAUUAAGAUUACUCUAACGAUUCUUCGAUUGGGAUGGAAUUACUUAAGAACGAAGGAUAUCGUGAUUUAUAAAAGAAAUCGAGAUAAUUACUCUUAGAAAGGAAGAGGAUAUUACGAAAGGAAGAAGAUUAGGAUAAUUAUGAAAAAGACUAAGAGAAAAUCGAAGCAAGAAACGAUCGAAUAAAACUUCUUUAUGUGAGAUUUGUGGAUGACUUCAAAUCACGAUGGCUUAACGUUAACUCUACGUAAAAUAGAAAAGAUACGCUUAAAUAUCCUUCAUGACAAAUUUGCGCAGCUGCAGCGAAACGAUUAAAGCAUAAAGAUAUGAAAACGGGACUGAAUCGAUCGGAUACAUACGAGGAUCUAAAAACGCUCGGUGAUCUAGGAACAAACAGUAUCCGGAAUGCUGCAAAUUGAGAUCAAAGAUUCUUGGGAGAGAAAAGAUUCACUUCCGAGGUAAGGAAUGUAAACAAUGCACACUUUCGCGCGCGAUCGCCAGGUUUGUGUUCAAAGCCGCUGCUCGCCGCGGCGGUUCGUGUGGUACUGUCGCGCGAGGUCGUCGCGCCUGGUUGCUUACUGGACAGCCGACGGCACCUAGACCUGGCGUCUAGCGCAAUUCUAACGUGCAUUUCAACCUCGAUCUCUUCGACCCGGUUUAGAGACACGCGGGCGUUUCUAUUUCAAUCGUUCGAUCCUUACCACGGUACGCGUUAGAUCUUCAGACUCUAGGGAAAAGUCGAUCUUGCAUUCCAUUUCUUAUUUAUAUGCAAAACGUCGGCGAAUGAAAGAUAUUGAUGAGAAUCAAAGGUGUUUCAA